CAAGUCGAACGAAUCCCACCUUUGUAGCAAUACCGAGGUGGGGGAAGUGGCGAAAGGGGCAGUAAUGCGUGGGUAACCUACCCCGGGGAUGGGCAUAGCCGUUCUAACGGACGGGUAAUUCCCAGCGAUCCGUCGAGGGGACAUCCUCUUGACGGGAAAUGAGUUUCGCCUCGGGAGGGGCUCACGUGCUAUUAGCUUGUUGGCGGGGUAACGGCCCACCAAGGCAAAGAUGGCUAGCGGGUGUGAGAGCACGACCCGCGCCACUGGCACUGAGACACUGGCCAGACACCUACGGGUGGCUGCAGUCGAGGAUCUUCGUCAAUGGGCGCAAGCCUGAACGAGCGACGCCGCGUGUGCGAUGAAGGCCUUCGGGUUGUAAAGCACUGUCGAGGGGGAUCAAGGCGCAAGCUUGAGUGAUCCCUGGAGGAAGCACGGGCUAAGUUCGUGCCAGCAGCCGCGGUAAGACGAACCGUGUGAACGUUGUUCGGAAUCACUGGGCUUAAAGGGCGCGUAGGCGGCUCGCAUGGUCGGGGGUGAAAUCCCACAGCUUAACUGUGGAAGUGCCUUCGAUACCGGCGGGCUCGAGGAAGGUAGGGGUGCGCGGAACUUCUGGUGGAGCGGUGAAAUGCGUUGAUAUCAGAAGGAACGCCGGCGGCGAAAGCGGCGCACUGGACCUUUUCUGACGCUGAGGCGCGAAAGCCAGGGGAGCAAACGGGAUUAGAUACCCCGGUAGUCCUGGCCCUAAACGAUGGGUACUAGGUCGUGGGCCAGUCAUGGGCUCACAGCCGAAGCAAAAGUGUUAAGUACCCCGCCUGGGGAGUAUGGUCGCAAGGCUGAAACUCAAA
rnacentral:rRNA from 1 species